CCGGAGCUUCUUCUGCGGGUACCGUCAUUAUCUUCCCCGCUGAAAGGGGUUUACAACCCUAAGGCCUUCUUCACCCACGCGGCAUGGCUGGAUCAGGCUUUCGCCCAUUGUCCAAUAUUCCCCA
rnacentral:rRNA from 1 species